rnacentral:rRNA from 1 species
AUUGAACGCUGGCGGCAGGCCUAACACAUGCAAGUCGAACGCGUGGCGGACGGGUGAGAAAUGUCUGGGAAACUGCCUGGUGGAGGGGGAAAACUACUGGAAACGGUCUCUAAUACCGCAUCCCAUCAGAUGUGCACAGAUGGGAUUCGCUAGUUGGUGGGGUAACGGCUCACGAAGGCGACGAUCCCUAGCUGGUCUGAGAGGAUGACCAGCCACACUGGAACUGAGACACGGUCCAGACUCCUACGGGAGGCAGCAGUGGGGAAUAUUGCACAAUGGGCGCAAGCCUGAUGCAGCCAUGCCGCGUGUAUGAAGAAGGCCUUCGGGUUGUAAAGUACUUUCAGCGGGGAGGCGUUACCCGCAGAAGAAGCACCGGCUAACUCCGUGCCAGCAGCCGCGGUAAUUC